CCACUCUUGUUUGCUGCGUGCGUUCGUCGCUUGGCCCGCUUGCUGUUCUCGCAAAAGCGCGGGGCAGAGGAGAGAAAGAAGCCUCUCGUUCUCCGAGAGAGACGCAGAGGCCGCAGUCAGGGCCUGGAUAUACUCGGAGGCUCGGCUUCUCUUCUGGGUGCUCCUUGUUGCUUCCAGGGAAAGUUUAGUCUGGAUCUGAGGCCUCGUGGCGCUCUUCCUGGUUUUUCAAUUUUGGUGGAGAAAUAGAGUUUGUGGUGAAGUAAAUGGCACCGCUGGAAUCCAAACCCUAAUGAAGCAGAGUCUCUUCUUAACCACUGUCUAUACUAAAGGGUGCAGACAACAGGAAAGCAACAACUCUGGUUUGGUCACCGUGGUGGUCUUGCCCGGCACAUGGUGGGAGUCCAGCCAGAGCUGAUGGCCUCCUCUUCCCUCCUGACUAUUCAUCUGCUUCCACUCCAGGAGCACCACAGGCAUCUCCCCUGAUGCAGGGUAAAUUGCAGAAGCCGUGGUACCAGCCCGCAUCCAUGACCCCACAGAUAUUCCCCUUCUCCAAGUGGACUGACCCAGGCCUUUUACAAACACAGAAGGAUCUUGUGCAAGAUGAAUUUUAGUACUAGCUACUAAAAGAUCUCUUCACACAAAAGGCAAUAUUCCUGAAUUUGUAUUGGUCCAGGCAUUCGAGAAUCAAGGUGCAUCCGUAGGAAGAAAGAGAGAGAGACCAGUUCUGAAGAGUAUCUGCUGGUGAAUGUUACUUAAAUCUGAACUUUGAGUCAUGAAAAAUAGAAAGAUGUACGUCGUUAUGGUACUGUUUCCAGAUGUGGCUACUAGAAAUUUAAAACGAUGGAGUUCCCAUUGUGGCUCAGCAGGUUAAGAGCCCGACUAGUAUCCAUGAGGACGCAGGUUCAAUCCCUAGCCUCACUCAGUGGGUUAAGGAUCUGGCAUUGCCGUGAACUACGGUGUGGGUCGCAGAGGUGGCUCGAUCCCACAUGACUGUGACUGUGGUGUAGGCCAGCAGCUACAGCUCUGAUUUGAACCCUAGCCUUGCAACUUCCAUAUGCUGUGGAUGAGGCCCUAAAAAAGCAAGAAAAAAAAAGAGCAAGAAAGAACUUUAAAAUGAUAUUCGUGUUUGUGUCCUAUUUGUUCAAAAUAGCACUGCUAGAACAUAGCAGAUGAAGGCUGGACGCUGGAGGCACAGAGCAUGGAGCACGGGGCAGAGUGAAUGGCUGACAUUCUCAUCCCCAUAGUAGAGAUAAUGAGAACCAGGUCUUGUGGGAUAUUUGUGCCUAUUAAUGGAAUAACAAAUGGCGCAUGGGGAACGCUUAACAAACGGUUGCUGUUGCUUUUCUCUUUUUUUAAUGUAUAAGAAUAUUUUAUAUUCUUUUUUUUUUAGUUGUACAAUGAUCAUCAAAUCAAACAUAGCAUUUCCAUCCCAAACUCCUAAUGCAUCCCCCCACCCCCCACCCUGUCUCCUUUGGAAAACAGAAGUUUUUCAAAGUCUGUGAGUCAGUAUCUGUUCUGCAAAAUUCAUUGUAUCCUUUUUUUAGAUUCCACAUGUAAGUGAUAGCAUUUGAGGUGGGUGUCUCACACUGUCUGACUGACUUCACUUAGCAUAAUAAUUUCUAGGUCCAUCCAUAUUGUUGCAAAGGCUGUUAUUUUGUUCCUUUUAAUGGCUGAGUAAUAUUCCAUUGUGUAUAUGUACCACACCUUUUUUUGUGUGUGUGUCUUUUGUCUUUUUAGGGCCACCCCGGUGGCAUAUGGAUGUUCCCAGGCUAGGGGUCUAAUCGGAGCUGUAGCUGCCGGCCUACGCCACAGCCACAGCAAUGCCAGAUCCGAGCCUCAUCUGUGACCCACACCACAGCUCACAGCAACACUGGAUCCUCAACCCACUGAGUGUGGCUAGGGACUGAACCUGAAACCUCAUGGUUUCUAGUCGGAGUUGUUUCUGCUGGGCCGAGACGGGAACUCCUGUGCCACACCUUCUUUAUUCACUCCUCUGUCAAUGGACAUUUAGGUUGUUUCCAUGAACUAACAAUGAAAGAUCAGAAAGAGAAAUUAGGGAAAGAAUCCCAUUUACCAUCGCAUCAAAAAUAAUAAAAUAUUUAGGAAUAAACUUACCUAAAGAGACAAAAGACCCGUCCUCUACUGCUGCUUCUCUUGUACUUGGUGAAGUUCAGUCUGUCUGCCAGACUAGCUGUCAGUUUUACCUUUAUUGCACCUAAAAGAUGGCCUGGCUCACAGCAGGCAAUCAAGAAAUAUUUCUCAAGUGAAUGAAUGAAUGAAUGAAUGAAUGAAACAACUUGAGAAAUGAUUUGAGGACAUUUCCUCAAAGAUAAAAUGUUCCUACCUGACAAUUUUUUUUGUUUGUUUGUUUCUUUUUAGGACUGCACCCUGGGAACUUCCUAACAUGGGAACUCCUAUAUGCUGGGAACUUUGAUAAGGUGCAGCCUUAUUAAAAAAAAAGAGCAGUCUUGAAUAAAUAUUUCUCCAAAGAAGAUAAAUAGAUAUCCAAUAAGCACACAUAUGCUCAACAUUCCUAAUCACUGCGAAGGACAAAAUCACAAUUGAAAUAUCAUUUCACAACCACUAGGUGUCUAUUAUUUAAAAAAAAAAAUUCAGAAAAUAGCAAGUGUUGAUGAGAAUGUGGAGAAAUUGGAACACUUGGGCAUUGCUGGUAAGAAUAUAAAACGGUGCAACUGCUGUGGAAAAUAGUUUGGCAUUUCCUCAAAAAAAGCCUAGAAUUACAUAGAAUAAGCAUAGAAUGAUCUAGCAAUUCUACUCCUGGGUACAUACCCCAAAGAACUGAAACAGGGACUCAGAUAUUUGUAUAUCAACAUUCAAAACAGCAUUAUUCACAAUAGUCAAAAAGUAGAAACAACCAAAUGUCCAUUAAUGGAUGAAUAGACAAAAUGUAGUAAACCAUACAACAGAAUAUUACUCAGCCCUAAAAAGGAAGGGAAUUGUGACACCUGCUACAGCAUGGAUCAAGCUUGAAGACAUUAUGCUAAGUGACAAAUCGCAAGGACAAAUAUUCUAUGAUUCCCCUUAUAUUAGUUAUCUAGAUUAGUCAAACUCAUAGGAGUGGAAAGUAAAAGAGUGGUUGCCAGGGGCUGUGGUGGGGAUGGAAGAAUGGAGAGUUAUGAAAUCUUCCCAUACCUCCAGGUAGCACUCAGGUCACUCUUGGGUAACAGAAUGAGAACUGGAUUUCAAGCCAGGGAUGUGAAAAUUCCCUCCUGUCCUGGGCUGGCCCACCCCACCUCCCACCCAUGACAAUGCCACCCAGCUUCUGAAGGGCUCUGGAACAGGAACAUUUUUCUGAAAAGUUACCUUUGUCUGUUCUAGAAAACAUAGCUAUUGUCCAGUGGACACAGCUGGGUGUGUCUUGAGUGAGGGUGUGUAGUGAGGGUAUUGCUCUGGUGGUCCCUGGGGCAGAGCCUCAGAAAAGAAUUGUGUCUGGGGCAUUCAUCCACCUGGGGGAAGAUGAGACCAAGAGUGAGAACAAGCUGGGUGGUAUGAUGACUGAAAAGGGGAGAAAGGAAUGAGAACAGAGAAGCAGCAGAAUUGGGGAAAGAAGAGGAAUGUCCAUAUCAGACAUAAUCAUGGCUCUUCCCUGUUCCCUUCCUGCCCCCACACAGCCUGUCCCAGGCCCAUGGCUUUACAUCUGAUGGAGUCAGUGUGGAGCAUGUGGAUGCCGUCUUAGCAGAGGGGGUGAAUGGGUUCAUCUUUAAAGACAAAGACAGAGUUCCCAUUGUGGCUCAGUAGGUUACAAACCCAACUAGAAUCCAUGAGAAUGUGGCUUUCAUCCCUGGCUUCUCUCAGUGGGUUAAGGAUCCAGCGUUGCCGUGAGCUGCGGUGUAGGUCGCAGUCAAGGCUUGGAUCUGGUGUUGCUGUGGCUGUGGUGCAGGCUGGCAGCUGUAGCUCUGAGUCAAACCUUAGCCUGGGAACUUCCAUGUGUCGCAUGUGUGCAGCCCUAAGGGGAAAAAAAAAAAGACAAAGGCAAUGUCUAUACAGAUAGUGUCAGAUGCACCAUUUCCCUUUGGGGUAUCCCAUCCUGAUGCCUCCUCCCAGCCAUGUCUGUUCACAAUGUAAUAGAUCAUGUGCUCAGUGUAAUGAGUUUGUUCAUCAGGACUGAGAUGUCUACUUGUGAUGUUCAUGCACUUAGAGGAGACAUGGCAGGUUUCCUCCAGAAGCCCUCCCCAGACUGGACCAGGGCAAGAGCCUUACCCCUUGUGCUGAGUGUUCAGUGAACUUGGGCUCACCUUGGAUCCCUAGUCAGACCACUGAACUCAACAGAAUUAGAGCACCCAGUGGUUCCUCAUUCUUAUACACAGCCACGUUGUCUGAGAUCAAGGAUUGUAGGGCUGAGUUGGUGGAUCGUUGCAACGAAGAUACUGAGAUGUUUGGAGUCCGCAAAGGAAGAGGCAAAAGUAGCAUGUGAGUCUCUGAGGAUGGUGUUGAGAUAGUGUUGAGAAAAAAGCCACUGAAGCUACCCUGUUUCUUUACUCCUAGACAGGUGUAGAGUUGAGGGCAGUGUGGCUUCUCCCGGCUCCCUCUGACUCCUAUCUCACCUAGCUUUUGAAUUCAUGAGCCUAGAAAAGCAAACUUUAGCUUUCAGCCUGGCAAGGCUAGAGACAAAGCAAAGCCUACUGUCUGGGAAGAUUCAGUUCACACCCAAUAAUCUGACAAUACUAAAAAUCCAUAAUGUUAUUUAAAAAAUUUUUACAAGUUUUAUUGAAGUAGAGUUGAUUUACAAUGUUGUGAUAAUUUCUGCUGUACAGCAAAUUGAUUCAAUUAUACAUAAUGCACACAUCCACCCACGGCACCUGGCUGGAGAUGGAACCAGAACCUCCACAGUGACUUGAGCUUCUGCAGUAGGAUUCUUAACUCAUUGUGCAACAGCAGGAACUCCUUGAGUUAUUUCUAAUUGUCAGAUUAAAAAAUAUUGCAUGGGGUGUACUUAUACCUUUCUAUUUUAUCUGAAAUAAAGUGUACCUAACUUU
rnacentral:lncRNA from 1 species